AUGGCGUCGGUUUCGAAGCUUGUGCUUCUCCUGCUGUGCGCUUACCACACUCUCGUUGCUCACGCAGGAGAUGAUCUUGGCAGCUACUACAUGGUUCUGCCCGCUGGGUCUCUGAAAUCUGCCACCGUCAACUGCACCGAUCACAAAGCAGUGAGUUCACCAUCCGGCGGCGUCGUCACGGUGCCGUUGCACCACCGGCACGGCCCAUGCUCCCCCGUCCCCUCCACGAAGGCGCCGACCUUGGAGGAGAUGCUCUGGCGUGACCAGCUCCGAGCUGAAUACAUCAGAAGUUCUCUGGCGUCAAGGGUGGCGGCGUGGAGCAGUCGGACGUAA
rnacentral:rRNA from 1 species